UUUGCUUAGGAAUCGCCUUGCCUUAAUUCAGUCUGUCUUAUCGGGUUUACCAGUACUGCGCUCGUUUUCUUGAGAUCGGCAUGAUGCUUUGGUACUUUUGGCUGUUGUGUGAGAUUAAAGUCUCUCUAUCUGAUGACUUGAGCUCCUUUGGGAGGUCGGAGUUUAGCUUUUUCAUUUAUGGUCCCGUGCCCCAAUCUUUUAUGUGAUAUCAGAACUAUGUUCUUUAUGAGUUGUUUUUGCUUGUUGCACCGGAUGAUCUUGGGGAUUCUGGCUAUUUUUGCUCCGGGAGAUCUUUGAGAUCUUUGCCGGUCUUCUACCUCAGUGAGGUCUUCUGCCUCAUUGAGGUCUUCUGCCUCAUUGAGGUUUUCUGCCUCUUUGAGGUCUUCUGCCUCUUUGAGAUCUUCUGCCUCUUUGAGGUCUUCUGCCUCUUUGAGGUCUUCUGCCUCUUUUGAGGUCUUCUGCCUCUUUGAGGUCUUCUGCCUCUUUGAGGUCUUCUGCCUCUUUGAGGUCUUCUGCCUCAUUGAGGUCUUCUGCCUCAUUGAGGUCUUCUGCCUCUUUGAGGUCUUCUGCCUCAUUGAGGUC
rnacentral:lncRNA from 1 species